rnacentral:rRNA from 1 species
GUGGGGAAUCUUGCGCAAUGGGCGAAAGCCUGACGCAGCCAUGCCGCGUGAAUGAUGAAGGUCUUAGGAUUGUAAAAUUCUUUCACCGGGGACGAUAAUGACGGUACCCGGAGAAGAAGCCCCGGCUAACUUCGUGCCAGCAGCCGCGGUAAUACGAAGGGGGCUAGCGUUGCUCGGAAUUACUGGGCGUAAAGGGCGCGUAGGCGGACAGUUUAGUCAGAGGUGAAAGCCCAGGGCUCAACCUUGGAAUUGCCUUUGAUACUGGCUGUCUUGAGUACGAGAGAGAUGAGUGGAACUCCGAGUGUAGAGGUGAAAUUCGUAGAUAUUCGGAAGGACACCAGUGGCGAAGGCGACUAACUAGCCCGUUACUGACGCUGAGGCGCGAAAGCGUGGGGAGCAAACAGGAUUAGAAACCCGAGUAGUCC